CGUAGGGGGCAAGCGUUAUCCGGAAUUAUUGGGCGUAAAGAGUGCGUAGGUGGUUUUGUAAGCGCGAGGUGAAAGGCAAUAGCUCAACUAUUGUAAGCCUUGUGAACUGCAAGACUUGAGUGCAGGAGAGGAAAGUGGAAUUCCUAGUGUAGCGGUGAAAUGCGUAGAUAUUAGGAGGAACACCAGUGGCGAAGGCGACUUUCUGGACUGUAACUGACACUGAGGCACGAAAGCGUGGGGAGCAAACAGGAUUAGAUACCCUGGUAGUCCACGCCGUAAACGAUGAGCACUAGGUGUCGGGGCCGCAAGGUUUCGGUGCCGCAGUUAACGCAUUAAGUGCUCCGCCUGGGGAGUACGCACGCAAGUGUG
rnacentral:rRNA from 1 species